rnacentral:rRNA from 1 species
GUAGGGAAUAUUGCACAAUGGAGGAAACUCUGAUGCAGCGACGCCGCGUGAGUGUUGAAGGCCUUCGGGUCGUAAAGCUCUGUCGCAGGGGAAUAACACAAUGAAGGUACCCUGUAAGAAAGGUUCGGCUAACUUCGUGCCAGCAGCCGCGGUAAGACGAGGGAUCCUAGCGUUGUUCGGAAUCAUUGGGCGUAAAGCGGAUGUGGGUGGCUAUGUAUGUCAGAUGUGAAAGCCUGGGGCUCAACGCCAGAAGUGCAUUUGAUACUGCGUAGCUUGAGUGUCGGAGAGGUUACUAGAAUUGUUGGUGUAGUGGUGAAAUACGUAGAUAUCAACAGGAAUACCGGAGGCGAAGGCGGGUAACUGGCCGAACACUGACACUGAGAUCCGAAAGCGUGGGGAUCAAACAGGAUUAGAAACCCUGGUAGUCC